rnacentral:rRNA from 1 species
AGUGAACGCUGGCGGCAGGCCUAACACAUGCAAGUCGAACGGCAACACGAAGCGGCUUGCUUCUUCGGUGAGGAGUGUGGCGCGGGGGAGUGAUGUACGUGAGGCUGUAUGAUGGCGGGGGGGAACUACUGGAGACGGUAGCGCUAAUCGCAUAAACUCGCAAGAGCAAAGAGGGGGACAUCUGGGGCUCUUGCGAGCGGGUGUGCCCAUAUGGGGUUAGCUUGUUGGUGGGGUAACGGCGCACCAAGGCGACGAUCCCUAGCUGGUCUGAGAGGAUGACCAGCCACACUGGAACUGAGACACGGUCCAGACUCCUACGGGAGGCAGCAGUGGGGAAUAUUGGACAAUGGGCGCAAGCCUGAUCCAGCCAUGCCGCGUGUAUGAAGAAGGCCUUCGGGUUGUAAAGCACUUUCGGUGGGGAAGAAAGGAAUCAAGUUAAUACCCCGGCGUACUGACGUUACCCAAAGAAGAAGCACCGGCUAACUUCGUG